rnacentral:snRNA from 1 species
AAGAUCGUACUUCUAGGGAUCAGUCCUAUAGUACGUAUCACUAGGACGUCAAACAAAAGUAUGUACUGAACUGUAUAUCAUAUGAGGUAUGAU